AAGUCUUUGUUCAAGUCUUAUAAAAAAUACUGUCUCUGGGUGUAAGGCAGAGAUUCAUGAAGAAGAGCUGCUACAAGUCGGCACUCAGCGACUUUGGUGAUGCUUUGAAUCUCUCGCCGGCUGUCCGAUAAUAAAGGCACCGUUGUUGAACAGAAAACUUGUGGUGUUCGGAUUUGUGAGGAAAAAAAACAGUCAUCAACAUUUGGUGCCACAACCCCGAUCUCAAUAAAGGGAAUGACUCACGGGGCUGAGUAUGUGGCAUGAAAAUCUGAAUUGGGCAGAACUGAGCGGUAAGUGCGCCUCGGGGUGUUUUACCCCAGACUGCUCCUUGUGUUCAGCCAGACGGUCUGUCCGUCGCCCUGUGGAACCGGUAUUUUGACAAGCCACCCAGACCCAGUGUGUAAGACCUUACAGUAACCUUCCAGCCUCACAGUGGUCAAAUGCUCAGCCCACACCGGUGCAACUGACAGGGUCUCUAAGGGAAAUGAACAGAUCAUUUAAAGCAUUCAGAGAAAGUCAUCUUAAUAACAAGGGCUCUGGCCAGCCGAAGAAGGCGUAUCUUGACACUGGAGCCAGAAAAUAAAGAUCACUGAACUGACUUUCCAAUUUUUCUACCCCAUCAGUAAUCUGCUUUCCUCUUUGUUUGUCUGUGUGUGUGUAAGGGGAAGCUAAUAUGGGAUUAGAGUUUUAGUAGAGUUGUAUUCCUUUUUUUAAGCUGUAGCAAUAGUCUAAUUAAUUGUAAUAAAUAAUUAUUUUUGUUCACUACAGAAAUCUAUUCUGUUCUUUCUCUCAAACUUAGUCAGGUAAAUUGGGGCAUUGUGCAAAUAAGGUUAACAUUUGUACAACUCUCAGCGAUAGUGGGCCUCAAAUUUACAGUAUACAAUCCCAGUGAGUCAUCAGCACCAGUCGAAGUUGAUAAAUAUUUGAUUAUCAAUAGUGUAAAGAGUUAUAGGGAUAAUGUGGAUGAAAGGCAUUGUGGAUAAAAGUUCAAUCAAUGUUUAUCCCAUUAACUGGCAGGACAGGCUCAAUGGCCUGGAUGGUCUAUUCCUAUUCCUGUGUUCCUAAUGAAAGACAAAAGUGGAAAAAAAUAGGAGGAGUGAGGGAAAAGAACGAUCAUUUGUAACAACUGAUGUCAAAGUAGAGAAUUUCUGUUUAAAUCAGAUUGGAAAAAGUGGAUUGUUAUUUUAAAUGAUUGAUUCAUAAUUUUAUGUUAGACACGUAAGUAGUAAUUUGAGCUCAGAUGAUAAUAUGAUUUGAGGUAUUAAAUUUGGAGUUGCGAUAUGCAGGUAGCCUUGCAAAUAAAUAUAAAUAUGUGACAACUGAUUCAUUGUGACAGUAGCAUCAUUUAUCGCUAUCUGCUCAUGAUAAAUGGGCAAUAACGAAUCAGGAUAUUUGUUGGAAGAUAAUGCAUGAAAGAAAUGUAUAAAAUUUCCUGAAGAUAUUUGUAACAUCACCCAUGUCAUGCAUAUUUCCCAGAAACAUGUUGCCUGACUAUGUAUCUGUGAGGGUCUGCACAGUCCAUCGUUAGCAAAUGGAAUUCCGAAUUGGACUGUUCAAUUCAAAAGAUCAUUGUUUAUUCAAAAAAAAGUUUGUAUUUCAAUAAAUACAACUGUGC